CAAAUGAACUGAUGUCUGUUUCAUAUUUAAACAGCUACACUGUGGAGUGUAGGACUCAUCACCAGAUCAGCCUUCAGAUAAACCAUGUUCACUUCAUUUCUCCUGCUGUUGCUGGCUGCUGUGUCUUGUAUUGACUGUCAGGUUGUGCUCACACAGUCUGAACAGUCAGUAGUUGUGUCUCCAGGUGCUUCCUACAAACUGACCUGUGCCUGCAGUGGGUUUACUGUUAGUAGCACUUACAUGAACUGGAUCCGUCAGGCACCUGGAAAAGGACUGGAAUGGAUUAUUUAUUAUUAUUCAGAUUCUAAUAAGAACUCAGCUCAGUCAGUUCAGGGCAGAUUCACAGCAUCUAAGGACAGCUCUAAUCUCUAUCUGCACAUGAGUCAGUUAAAGACUGAAGACACUGCAGUGUAUUACUGUGCAACAGAUUCAGGGUCUAGCUACGGUGCUUUUGACUACUGGGGAAAGGGAACAAAGGUGACCGUAACAUCAGCCGAAUCAUCUGCACCAAAGUCAAUCUUCGCCAUGUCCCAGUGUACUCCUGAUACUUCUGGGUAUGUCACCGUUGGCUGCAUGGCAAGAGGUUUCGCACCUGAGGACUCGCUUACUUUUAAAUGGACGGAUAAUACUCAGAAGGAGCUGAGUGACAUCGUGCAGUAUCCAGCAUUCGGGAGUGGUGGACAAUACACCAAAAUCAGCCAUAUGCGCGUAAAAAGCGAUUUGGAUUCCCAAAAACCAUACAAGUGCGAAGCUUCAAAUUCUAAAGGAAAAAUAGAAACUGAAAUUGCUGUACCAUCCCCACCUCCAGAUCAACGUGCAACCGUGUACUUAACAGUACCUACAAAAACGGAGUUAGAAAAUGAAACAGCAACCUUCACGUGUUUAGCCCGACGGUUUUCGCCUAAAACAUACACGUUUGAGUGGUCUCUGAAUGGUCAGAAGGUGACAAAUGUGAUAGACAAAUAUGAAAAAAGUGAGAAGAAUGGCUUGGUAACCGAAUAUAGUGCCACGAGCAUUUUGCAAAUCAAAGCCGAAGAGUGGAAGAAAUCAGAGAGCAAAGUUAAGUGUAAGUUCGUGCACAAGGCUCGAAAUGAAGAAGUAGAGGCCGAAUAUGCAGCUCAAUUUGCAAUGACACUGAAGCCACCUAUUCAAAGUGAACUAUUUGUAAACAAGAGAGUUGUCUUGGAAGCUGUUGUUUCUGGAGAUGUAGAGAAUGCAGUGAAAGGUGCUGCAGUGUCAUGUGACAUGAAUGCAGCUGUGACACCAGGAGAAGUCAAGUUUUCCAAAGAUAUUUCACAGUUUAUAAAAAAACACAAAGUCACUGUUGAUAAAAAAAAAUGGUUUGAUGGUGAAAAGGUCACCUGCACCAUCUCUGAAAAAAAAAUCAAAGAGGUGAUCCAUUUUAAUAAAGGAGGUGGACAGGAUCCCACUGUUCACAUUUACAGACCUGAUUAUAAUAACAGAAAUCAUUUCUCUCAUGUGUGUGAGGUCACCAGCCCUAAACUCGGUGAUGUCUAUGUAAUGUGGAAAGUGGGUAAUGGUCCUUACAAAGAGGGCACAACCAGUGCUGCCACCCAUCAAAAGGACUCAACGUCUGUUUUCAGCAUCCUAACAAUGACAAAAGAAGAGUAUGAUGAUCCCAAAACCACCAUCACCUGUGCAGUCAUUCAUGCCUACAUAGACAAUGGAAGUUCUCCAUUACAAGUGUCAACAAGCAAAAGUAAACAGGGAGAAGUUUCAUGUGAUUAAUGUGCAAGCGUUCCCAAACUGUCAUUGUUCAUCUGCUGUUUAGUUUUCCAGUGCUUAUGUCAUGUUGCUCUCUCAUCAGAUUAUGUAAAGUAUCUUCAGUGUUUUUUGUGCAUAUUUCUGUCUGUAUGUCUGUAUCACUUUACUGCAUUGUUCAAACAUCAAAGUCAAAUUACACUCAAGACUAAAUGUUUAAUUUGAUAUUUACUUACAUGUUGCAUCUAAGUAAAUAUGGUUACAUAAAAACAUUGUCAGAACGAUAUCAUAGAGCUUCUUUAUGUCUUGUUCUGUGCUUACUGUACUGCUGUUAGUCUAUAAUAUUACAUGUCAUUUUUGUGUUGUUUUACAAGCAAUAAAUAUUUGUUUGCAUGA